rnacentral:rRNA from 1 species
GAUGAACGCUGGCGGCGUGCCUAAUACAUGCAAGUCGAGCGAACAGAUGAGGAGCUUGCUCCUCUGACGUUAGCGGCGGACGGGUGAGUAACACGUGGAUAACCUACCUAUAAGACUGGGAUAACUUCGGGAAACCGGAGCUAAUACCGGAUAAUAUAUUGAACCGCAUGGUUCAAUAGUGAAAGACGGUUUUGCUGUCACUUAUAGAUGGAUCCGCGCCGCAUUAGCUAGUUGGUAAGGUAACGGCUUACCAAGGCAACGAUGCGUAGCCGACCUGAGAGGCGGAUCGGCCACACUGGAACUGAGACACGGUCCAGACUCCUACGGGAGGCAGCAGUAGGGAAUCUUACGCAAUGGGCGAAAGCCUGACGGAGCAACGCCGCGUGAGUGAUGAAGGUCUUCGGAUCGUAAAACUCUGUUAUUAGGGAAGAACAAAUGUGGAAGUAACUAUGCACGUCUUGACGGUACCUAAUCAGAAAGCCACGGCUAACUACGUG